CGGCGGACGGGUGAGUAACGCGUGGGUAACCUGCCUCAUACAGGGGGAUAACAGUUGGAAACGGCUGCUAAUACCGCAUAAGCGCACAGUACCGCAUGGUACCGUGUGAAAAACUCCGGUGGUAUGAGAUGGACCCGCGUCUGAUUAGCUAGUUGUGGGGUAACGGCCUACCAAGGCGACGAUCAGUAGCCGACCUGAGAGGGUGACCGGCCACAUUGGGACUGAGACACGGCCCAA
rnacentral:rRNA from 1 species